rnacentral:lncRNA from 1 species
UUAAAGGGUAAGGGAACAGGGCUGACAGAAGAUUCUGCAGGAGAAGAGGAGGGAGAAAUGGUACUGCAUUCAGUAAUAUCAGAGAGAAUUAGGCCAGGAGAAGAAGAAGUGGAGGGAAUAGGCGUAUGUGGAGAGCUGAUAUCAGCAGGAGUAUGAAGAGGACUGGGAGGGGAAGUAGGACUGACACCAGCAGCAGUAGAAGAAAGAGAUGGUGUAGGACUGCCAGAAUUAAGAAGGUGAGGAUGAGGAGAAGCUUCAGCCAUGAACCAUGAAGAAGCAGAAACAGGGGAAGUAUGAGCAGCAGUAGAAGGUGGAGUGGAAGUGGGAAAUAAAAGGGAAUAAGGAAACCUUGUUUCAUGGAAAAGAACAUCCUUAGAAAUAUAGAGAUGUCCAUUGGCAGCCAAACAUUUGUACCCCUUAUGAACAGUGGAGUAUCCUAGAAAAAUACACUCCUUAGACCGAUAAUCA